rnacentral:rRNA from 1 species
GACGAACGCUGGCGGCGUGCUUAACACAUGUAAGUCGAGCGGGGAUUAGUGAUAACUUCGGUUGGAUCUAAUUCUAGCGGCGGACGGGUGAGUAACGCGUGAGUAACCUGCCUUUCAGAGGGGGAUAACAGUUGGAAACGACUGCUAAUACCGCAUAACGUAUUGAGAUCGCAUGGUCUUGAUACCAAAGCUGAGGCGCUGAGAGAUGGACUCGCGUCUGAUUAGAUAGUUGGUGAGGUAACGGCUCACCAAGUCGACGAUCAGUAGCCGGACCGAGAGGUUGAACGGCCACAUUGGGACUGAGACACGGCCCAG